UGGCCAAGGAUGAGAACUCUAAUCUGAUUGGACCAUGCUUCAGCUCUGAUGGGUUAAAGGAUUUACCUGAGGCCA
rnacentral:snoRNA from 1 species